GUUAUUUUCUCACCCCCUCUCGCGUUAUCUCUUCCCCAACUCAUUGCAGCCGCCACCGCCGACCCCGAUCGCCUAACUCUGCCGUCUACACCGCGUCGCCGGGAUCUCUCACCAUCACUAGUGCUUUUGGUAGAGCCCUAGCCGACUAACACUGAGCGUUGUCUUUCCCCUCCUUGUCUUUGCGCACGCGGCGUUUCCGCCACCAGAAGAAUCGGCGCCGCCCAACCGCUGGCGCCGCUCUACCGUAGACGUGUGUGAGACCACACCAAUGAUGCAUCCUUUCCUCGCGACCACGGUUUCGUUGUGCCCUUCGAGCCGACGUCGCACAUCUGACCUAGCGCUGCAGCUGCUCAUGAGCAGCCGGUGUCUGUGCGACUACACUUGGUCUUUCCCUCCUCUUCUCCGGCUGUUGCAAACUCGCUAGCCAGAAACAAGUGGCUGUCUGUAGCCACCACAGUGUCGCCGAUUGUUACUCCGGCCACCAUUGCGUUGUUGGCCUGCUUCACUGCCAUGGAAACCACUGUUGCGAACCGUCGCUGCUGUCGCCACCAGUUCUCUAUCGCCUGAUGCCAUUGCCGGAGAGGAUUUCUGAUUCGAGAUGAGCAUCUCGACAUGGGAAUAGUUCAACACGAGCUACAUUUGAUGUUAGCAGAUAAAGGAGGUGUGUGUCGCUCAGAGGUCCUAGCUAUCAAUCCCACAUCACAUUUCAAGAUCGUGCUUUCCUCGUUGUGUCUUGUUUUUUGUAUUUACACUUUGUUUCAUUCAUGGAUUUUAACCUUAUAGUGUCUUUUGAUUCGGACUUGUACUUGUUGUGUAAGUCAUACCAAUACGCAGUCAUUUGUGUUUUAUUUAUUGUGAAGGGAUUAUGCAAAUCCCCUUUUUGAGUGGUGGUUAUGUUGUUAUCUUUCGCUGUAUAUUUCUUCUUAAUAUGUGGACUUAUAUCAUGUUGUAUCAUACAUUAUCACUAGGGGAUACCGUCCAAGUAUACUUUUAGGGUGU